CCGAGGCGCAGUCCCAUCUGCCCCGGAGCGAAGCCCAGCUGUCAGGGCCGCCGGGUUCUCAGGAUGAUUGAAUGAGACGCCCCCAAGGCCCCAGGCACAGCGCUCCUGAGCGGCGGGUGCCCUACUGAUGCUCAUCUGCACCGUGUCGGGGGCCGUCCACGCAGCCCCUCCAGCACGAGGCUGAUGGAAAGCUUGUGCGACGCCCUCGUCAGGCAUGGAGGAGCCCAGAAUUUUGGGCCUGUGAGAGGCCAGAGUGGCUGCUGGCCCAGGCCUCACAGGAGGCUGUUUCCUGCUCGACCUUGGGCCUUCCUGCAGGCGUGUCUGGAGUCCGGACCAGGGCCCCAUCCCCUCGAGAGCCCUGUGACCUUGGCUGUGGCCAGAGUCAGGAUGAAGGCUGGUCACCGACAUGCACCGGUGUCAGAGCACGUGACCGCCCCUCCCCAGGCUGAGGAGGAAGCUGGGCUGGGCAGGGAAGGGCCCUGCCCGCAUCACCCAGAGAAUACAGUUGAGCAUCUGUCAGGCCUGAACGAGCCAGGAAGUGUAACCAGGGCAUGGAUGCUCUACUUUCAUGAUAAGGUGACAAAAAUCAGAGUAUAAAUGAGACGGCUUUCCUUUCCGAAAAACCAUCCCCCAGGACUCGGGAUCUCUCGCCAAUGGCAGCCAGCAUGGUGAUGCGACAAGAUGGCCUUUCUGACUGGCUUGGGUAUUAAACAGACUUGGGGAGACAUCAUGGCAUGAGAGGAACUUGGUCUAUUCAAGAAAAGCUUAUUUUUCAU